rnacentral:rRNA from 1 species
GACAUGGCUCAGGAUGAACGCUAGCUACAGGCUUAACACAUGCAAGUCGAGGGGCAGCGGGAUUGAAGCUUGCUUCAAUUGCCGGCGACCGGCGCACGGGUGAGUAACGCGUAUCCAACCUUCCGUACACUCAGGGAUAGCCUUUCGAAAGAAAGAUUAACACCUGAUGGUAUGAUGAGAUUGCAUGAUAUCAUCAUUAAAGAUUUAUCGGUGUACGAUGGGG